rnacentral:rRNA from 1 species
UACAGAGGUCUCAAGCGUUGUUCGGAUUCAUUGGGCGUAAAGGGUGCGCAGGCGGCGCGGUAAGUCGGGUGUGAAAUCUUGGAGCUUAACUCCGAAACUGCAUUCGAUACUGCCGUGCUUGAGGACUGGAGAGGAGACUGGAAUUUACGGUGUAGCGGUGGAAUGCGUAGAUAUCGUAAGGAAGACCAGUGGCGAAGGCGGGUCUCUGGACAGUUCCUGACGCUGAGGCACGAAGGUCAGGGGAGCAAACGGG